AGAGUUUGAUCCUGGCUCAGGAUGAACGCUAGCGGGAGGCCUAACACAUGCAAGCCGAGCGGUAUUUGUCCUUCGGGACAGAGAGAGCGGCGUACGGGUGCGGAACACGUGUGCAACCUGCCUUUAUCUGGGGGAUAGCCUUUCGAAAGGAAGAUUAAUACCCCAUAAUAUAUCGAAUGGCAUCAUUCGAUAUUGAAAACUCCGGUGGAUAGAGAUGGGCACGCGCAAGAUUAGAUAGUUGGUGAGGUAACGGCUCACCAAGUCAAUGAUCUUUAGGGGGCCUGAGAGGGUGAUCCCCCACACUGGUACUGAGACACGGACCAGACUCCUACGGGAGGCAGCAGUGAGGAAUAUUGGACAAUGGGUGAGGGCCUGAUCCAGCCAUCCCGCGUGAAGGACUAAGGCCCUAUGGGUUGUAAACUUCUUUUAUACUGGGAUAAACCUACUUACGUGUAAGUAGCUGAAGGUACAGUAUGAAUAAGCACCGGCUAACUCCGUGCCAGCAGCCGCGGUAAUACGGAGGGUGCAGGCGUUAUCCGGAUUUAUUGGGUUUAAAGGGUCCGUAGGCGGAUCUGUAAGUCAGUGGUGAAAUCUCAUAGCUUAACUAUGAAACUGCCAUUGAUACUGCAGGUCUUGAGUGAGAUUGAGGUAGCUGGAAUAAGUAGUGUAGCGGUGAAAUGCAUAGAUAUUACUUAGAACACCAAUUGCGAAGGCAGGUUACCAAGUCUUAACUGACGCUGAUGGACGAAAGCGUGGGGAGCGAACAGGAUUAGAUACCCUGGUAGUCC
rnacentral:rRNA from 1 species